GGCCCGUCCUCUCUGCUCACAAAUCACACACACACACACAGAAGCUGCGGAUUACUGCUCACAAAUCACACACACACACACACACACACACACACAGAAGCUGCGGAUUACUGCUCACAAAUCACACACACACACACACAGAAGCUGCGGAUUACGACACUGAACUUCCCUCCUAGCUUACCCUGUCGACUGGUCGAGGGGCCUCACCCAGGUGUGAAUGGUACGGAGCCGGCAUGCCUCUGCAGAGAUUGAAACCAAAGCAAAGCCAGCUGGAAACAGCUUCUGCGGGAGGACUUCCAGAUCUGCAUGGAAGGUGUGUGGACUGGAGUGAGCUGUCAUGUCAGUAUGCACAAUGUCAUCGACGGGUGCUGCCUUGCAAAGAAUCAUGCCCACUGCCCCCAGCAUGCUGUCUGCCUGUGGGAAGCCUGGGAUCUGUGAACUGAGGGAGCCGCUGUGGUCUACACAAGGGUCUCCUUGGGGAUGCACUGCAUUGGCAGAAGGAAGAGGCUCCUGAAAACUUGUGUGGUGUGGUAAACUGUGGUUGACUUGGCAAGGCUUCCCUGUAUAUGAAUCAAUGAUAUGUGUCACUCCACUCAAUUAAAAAAAUACUUCCAGCAGAAUUUCUCAAAUGGCUUGUAACAGUACAGAUUUUGCAUUUCAAGAGUCAGCUUUCUCUUGAAAGACUAUGAGGUUUACCAAUAAUCAUAUAAAAUCCCCCAUAUUACAUAUGAUUUUUAUUAUGGCUAUGACUGUAUAACAUCUAAUAACCUUUCUCCUAGAUGAAGAAAAUUAAUUGAAUCUACUCAUCUUCCAUCUACUAUCUUCUCAGUUUCAAUGGGGAAAAAAAAAGAAAAAGUGGAAAACAAAUUAUUUUUGUUUUAAGAGAAUUAAAAUAGCUAAGAAAGUAUGCCCUUCUAUACCAGUAAUGAUAGACCCUGCCUGGCUCCUACAGCGGAUACUGUUUCAAACAUUAUAACAUUUUGUUGAUGAACAUGCCCAACUGAAUUUCUAACCAUUCAUUUUCUAAAUUGUACUUUUUAAAACUUGACAAGACUCGUUUGGUUACUGAAUUAUAUCCUCUUCUGAAUUUCUUCCUUCUGAAAGUUCUUUUUUUUUUUUUUUCCUUAAAGGGAUAUUAUCCUUGCUUUGCACAGUUUUCUUAACGGUCAGGUGUUCUCAAUCUACUCCACAGCUUCACCAUUUCUACUGGUUAA
rnacentral:lncRNA from 1 species